AUCGCGUUUAACCACACCAACGCGGCAUCGAUAAUACUAUUGGCGGAUGAGCGCGCAAGAGAGACGGCCCGCCAACUGCUAAUGGUUCCUAGGAAUUCAAUUUCGACGGGUUCUGAUGGCAGCCUCGGAAUAAUCCACGCCUCUGCCUCUCGAAGCAAUUUUUCCUGACUCGGAUCUCACUCACAGCUUCACGGCCUUUUUUUUAAAAAAAAUCAUGUCUGUAUUUUAAAUGUUUUAUCCUCUUUGCUGUCUGCUUAGUCGCCAACUGUGAGUCCAGUGGUAUUCCAUUCAAACCGCAGAAUGAGGUUUUUUCGUCGUGAUACUCGCCAAAACACCGCUAUCGUGAGUUUCAGAAUUUUUCCGGGAAUUUCCGUUGCCUUUUGCAUUGGUGUCUAUCAUCUUUUUUCAGGUGCUUUGGUUUCAGGCACGAAUUCGCGCUCGAAUUAUUGGUGCAUGUGUUUCUCGCCAAGGACUACGAGCCCUGAACAAUCCACUUACCACACCCUCCCAACACUCGGAAUCUUCCAUUCACCAUCACCGUCGAUAGACUAUCGCCAGGGACCUCACCACCUCCCAUGUCGAACAGAGAACUUUCUCCGACGAAAACGACGGAGUACAUGGGUUUGUCCCCAGUUCCUCCCCAAAAAAACCCGCACUUGCCUUCCGGCAGCCGACAAAAUAAUGACAAUAGGUUGGAGGAGGCGACAGAAAACUGCUGGCACAACUGUCUCAAACAGCACGGCUACAUAUCCCCUCCGAAGUCCUACAACCGCGGGCGUUCGGAAUUGGUCCCGAUUACAAACGGCAGGGCUGUUGUCGUCGGUGGGGUCGUGAGCGAAAUCUGCGACUGCGCACUCUCCACGGAAGUUAUAACGCUCUUGUCGGUUUUCUUUCUUGACAUCCAAGAGUUCGACAGACUGCGUCAGUUGGACUACAAGUUUUACCUGAAAUGCUUCAUCCGGUCCAAGGGUCUGCAGUACAUCAGUUACUCAGAAGUCCAAGGGAAACUGAAGAAAAGUCUGAAGAAGAAUAAUGUGGCGCUGGAUGUUCGCACAGCGUCGAGACGACACCGGGACUCGCCUUGUUAGGCCGAGCCGACGAUAUAGAAUCUGUAGAUUGGGGGUGGCCAACGGAAAAACGUGACACACAUGGAGCGGUCGUUCGAUAGGCGGGCGGGAAGUGGAAAUGGCCGAUUGCUAUCUUCGUCAUAACCUCGAAUACACGGAUUCUUGCGGGAGCUUUUACAAUGAAUGAUUUAGCGUUGAAAUUUUCAUCGUAAACUCACUUGAUGAAUGGCUAAGGUCCAUAUCUGGACACAGAUUUUCAAACAGUUUGAACCCUCUUCUACCCUUUCUAUAGGGGUUGCCCUCUAUAAUAAGAAUAUCAAAAUUGUACGCCAUUUUUUUAAAAAAAAAAUAAAAGAGGAAAUUUAUAGCUAAAUCGUGUAAGUUAAAAUCCAAUGGUACAAAAAUAACAUAGGAGAAUGUUAAGAUCAAAAUUUUUUCACUCAUGUUUACAAUAAAUUUAAUACAACUCUAUAUUCAGCAACAGUCUCACAAAAAGCCAUGGAAACCGACUAUCUUCGUUCUAUAACCUAAUUGUUGCUCUUAGUGUGUUACGAAUUUCACUGUUGGCGUAGCAUAGGAUCCCCUAUCCAUAGUUUCUAGAUCGUUGGGCCGAGCUCAUAGAGUUAGUCCAGGCGCUUGAUAAGUGUACCUGGAAUUUCGAGUACACAGCUAUUUUUUUGGCCUCCUAAAAGUAUUUGGGUCGCUAAAUCCGAAUUUGAAGUUUUCUUACUCGUAAUUAUCUGGUGUGCAUUUGCCGCCAUUUUGAAAGAAUGGUCUAAAACGGCCUUUUUUGCGGUUCCUUUUAAAUAGCGGCUACGCAUGAGAAAAAAUCCCGAAUUAAGUUAAUGUUUUAAAUAGCUGACGUAAUUUGAAAGAAAAUGGUGUAUGUGAAUAUGCUAGGUGUGCUCAAAAAUUGAGGAAGAUACAGCAUCGUGAACAUCGCGCCCAUUCACGUUUUUGCGGCGCACCGCGCACAGGGACGGAUUUACCUUUUUAGCGCUCCUAGGCAAAUCAUAUGGUCACGCUCCUCACUGAACAGACGACCAAGUGGGGAGCCUGGGGGGUCGGGGGGUCCUCCCCCGAAAAUUUUUUAAAAUCGGGUGCCAAAAUCGGGGAUUAAUGAAUUUUAUAGCUACUUUUAGGUUAUUUAAGAGAAGAAUUUGGUGGCUGAGAUGACUCUUUGUGCUACCAUAAUUUUCAAAAGGUAUAGGGAAUUAAAACAAAGCGCAACUAAACAAAGGCGAGAAAAAUUUGAAAAAAGUAAAAAGAAAAUGUUGCUCAUUAAUGCAGAGGGGGCGCGGGUUUUACGAACCUUAUUAGUAGACAAGGACAGAUUCACAGAUAUUCUUCUUUUCGCGCGCCUCUUUUUUCGUCCUUAAUUUUUUUUACUGAUUUCAAUUAUAGAACCCUUACAAAAGUAUGCAUGUGUCUCAAAAUUUUGCGCCCCUCAAAACUUCGCGCCCCUAGGCGGCUGCCUAGGUCUGACUUGUGGGAAAUCCGUCCCUGACCGCGCAUCCGUCAAAGCGCGUCAAUAUGUGUGCAAACCUAGCAUAUUUGUAUACCCUUAACCCUUUUCUUCAAAACUACAUUAGUUAUUCAAAACAUUAACUAAGUCUGGUAUUUUUUCUCAUCAUGCGUAGCAGUUAUUUUUAAAAAACCGCUAAAAAGGCCUUUCUUGGUCAUUUCUUCAAAAUGGCGGCAAAUGCACACCAGAUGCGUGUAAGGAAACUUCAGAUUCGGAUUCAGCGACCCAAAAUUCAUGAUGUAAGCCAAAAAAAAUAGCGGUGUACCCAAAAUUCCAGGUAGCCUCAUUUUUAGCUACCAUGCGCUUGGACUAAGUACGUAGAAUCGUAAUUUGAAUGGGAGAGCUGGCGCCAGUUCUGGUCGACGAGUUCUGAGCCCAGUGUGUGCCGAGCUUCGGUCUCUUUCUCGCUACAUUUUUUAUCAAAAAUGGCGAUGUAAAAUACGUAGUAAUUCCGAGCGUACCUUUAUAGACUGAGUGUGGCCAUUCUUAUCUUUUACGACAAGAAACCUGUGUCGCUUUUUGUUGAUCAUAGAGUUUUUAGGCUUCAUGAUGCUCUUACGGCCAUAAAUAAACAAACAAGAUGGUGACUCACCGUAACAUUGAUAAGAAGCUAAAAUUUGACCAAAAUUCCAAUUAUACGGCGGUAACAAUUUAAACUAGCAUAUCUUCAAAUAACACAUGAAAAAUACAUGAAAACACUGUGAAUUCCCUUUCGCCUAUGUUUCGCCUUUAUCACUGGAGGAUGUAAGAUGUACGUAACCUCAAACUUGCUUGCAUGAUAACAGUCAUCUUGUUUGUUUAUUUACGGCCGUAUAAGAACAUAGUGUCAGCUUAUUUUCUCGCGACCAAUGAAAAACCGGCACAGAGAUGACCAUACUAUGUCUAUAGAGGUACUCUAGUAAUUCCUAUCCUCUUUGUUUACAUUGUAUUGCCGGGUCCCCAUGGAUCGGAAACAAUCGAUUAUGUAUCGAAAAAGUGACCCAGCGUGACACAGGAGUCUCGGAAUUCGGGACCUGGAAAAUGCUUAAAAUUGGCACCAGCUCUCCCACUAUACCUAUGCCCGAGCUACGGGCUGUGCUGCCGUGCUAAGAAAAAACGCCUAAUGAACAUUCGAGAGUUGCCAAAUUUCCUCCGGUAAAAUGUCUAUUUUUAUAAGGAGGCUAUGCAUAUUUCCUCUGGAAAUUUUCAGAUGAUUCAGGUCUGGUCGCUAAUAAGAUUCCCUGAGAAAUUAAAAGAAAAAUGUUCCUAUAGAAUUCCCUGAAAAUGUAUAUGUUAUAAAAAAAAAUUGGCAACGUCUGAUGGCUCAUACAGCGUUUUUCUUUCUUUAGCACGGCAGAUAUGGACAAACGUGCUAUGGUUCGGAUUUAAACUAUUGUCCCGAAUAAUAAACCAAUCUUAAAAUUUUGCUGAACUAUUGGAAAUAUUUUUUUUAGCCAUCUGGGUAACGAAACAUUUUAUGAGAGAGUAGAAAUCAUUAAAAGUUUUUAUUUAAUUUUGAAACAAAAAAAUGAGAUAAAAAGUAUGAAAGAACGGAAUAGAGAGAGAAUAUUCAAACGGUGUGCUUGGCACCAUGACGUCAAACUGCAAGUGGAAUAAAACGACUGAAAUACUGAUAGAGGAACGACGUUUCAAUAUUCCGAUGUUACCAAAUGUUGCCGGUAAAUAGAAUUUACGAGGAAAUUAUUAAAUAUCUUAUGCAUUGAAAUUUACCGGUGCUUUACGACGAAAUUAAAGAAAAAAUUCUCUACAGAAUUGGGAGGGAAAGUAUUUUAAGAUUUUUCCAGAAAAUUGGUUCAUUAUCAGAGGAAAUUUCGAAACAUCCGGCGUUUUUCUUUAGCAAGGCGAAAUACUGCUGCUAAAAAACGAACGUCA
rnacentral:lncRNA from 1 species